UGCACCCUACGGGGGGCAGCAGUGAGGAAUAUUGGUCAAUGGGCGGGAGCCUGAACCAGCCAAGCCGCGUGAAGGAAGAAGGCGCCAAGCGUCGUAAACUUCUUUUGUCGGGGAACAAAGGGCGCCACGUGUGGCGUUGUGAGUGUACCCGAAGAAGAAGCAUCGGCUAACUCCGUGCCAGCAGCCGCGGUAAUACGGAGGAUCCGAGCGUUAUCCGGAUUUAUUGGGUUUAAAGGGAGCGUAGAUGGGUUGUUAAGUCAGUUGUGAAAGUUUGCGGCUCAACCGUAAAUUGCAAUUGAUACUGG
rnacentral:rRNA from 1 species